UAAGCGUGCGCAGGCGGCUUUGCAAGACAGAGGUGAAAUCCCCGGGCUCAACCUGGGAACUGCCUUUGUGACUGCAAGGCUAGAGUACGGCAGAGGGAGAUGGAAUUCCGCGUGUAGCAGUGAAAUGCGUAGAUAUGCGGAGGAACACCGAUGGCGAAGGCAAUCUCCUGGGCCUGUACUGACGCUCAUGCACGAAAGCGUGGGGAGCAAACAGGAUUAGAUACCCCUGU
rnacentral:rRNA from 1 species